rnacentral:rRNA from 1 species
CGCUGGCGGCAUGCCUAACACAUGCAAGUCGAACGGAGAUUAUUUCGGUAAUCUUAGUGGCGAACGGGUGAGUAACGCGUAGGCAACCUGCCCUUAGUUGGGGACAACAUCCCGAAAGGGGUGCUAAUACCGAAUGUGAUCGUUUUCUCGCAUGAGAGAGCGAUGAAAGAUGGCCUCUAUUUAUAAGCUAUCGCUAAAGGAUGGGCCUGCGUCUGAUUAGCUAGUUGGUGGGGUAACGGCCUACCAAGGCGAUGAUCAGUAGCCGGUCUGAGAGGAUGAACGGCCACAUUGGGACUGAGACACGGCCCAGACUCCUACGGGAGGCAGCAGUGGGGAAUCUUCCGCAAUGGGCGAAAGCCUGACGGAGCAAUGCCGCGUGAGUGAUGAAGGAAUUCGUUCCGUAAAGCUCUUUUGUUUAUGACGAAUGUGCAGACUGUGAAUAAUGGUUUGUAAUGACGGUAGUAAACGAAUAAGCCACGGCUAACUACGUG